ensembl:lncRNA
ACAGAGGAGCCAUGAACCCCAGAACGCGACCUGACGUGGAGGACAAGGAGGCCCUCUGGGCACUACUGUAAAAAGGAGACUCCGUAUGUAGAUAGUUCUUAAUCUGCAAUUGUCUUGUUGUGUUGUGUUGACAUACUUUUCUUUACUGUUUUCUUAAAUUUAACAUUUAACAUAAUGCAAUAUAGCCAGGACAGCCUUACAGAGUCGCGACGCUUUGUGUUGCGUUGCUUCGCAUCGCGUCAAGGUCUGUAUGAUCACAAAAUUCAGAGUUUACCCACCUCUAAUUUUACCACUACAGCACUGAACAUAAUGCAAUAUAGCCAGGACAGCCUUACAGAGUCGCGGCGCUUUGUGUUGCGUUGCUUCGCAUCGCGUCAAGGUCUGUAUGAUCACAAAAUUCAGAGUUUACCCACCUCUAAUUUUACCACUACAGCACUGCUGUAGUGUGGGUGACUGUUCCUGUGCCAGAUAAGCCCAGUCAUCCAUCAUAAGGAAUAUACCCAGUUUGUAUUCUGUUGAUUUUUAAUCUAUUUUAUUAUAUGGUAAAUGUCAUCUUGUCAUCUUACUUUCUGUCAUCUUUCACCCAUUCAUAAACUAAUAACAGGAGCUUCCAUGCACAGCGCCCUCUGUCCAUCAGUAACAUUCACACCAUUUACACACCGUAGUCACAGCUAUUGGAGCAGUGUUUGGGUUAAGUGUCUUUCUCAAGGACUCUUCGACAUGUGUGGUGAACGGAAAUGCUGUAUGUGUUCAUUUGUACAUAGAUUUGGGCAAGUGCAAUCCGAUCAGAAGUGGUCAUGUGUAAACUGAUGUAGCCUACUUGGAGCUGUCCACCUGUGAUCUGAUUACCAAAGUAAAGGCCAGAGGUGAACAGGGCUUAAGGCUCUUUUCAACAAGUGAAGGCCAACAGUUUUAUUUUCUACCAAAUUUUGGAAAUGAAGGAUGCUUUAUCCUGAGGAUUGUCUCCAAAUUGGUACAAAUCUGUCC